CGGUUCUCGGCCGACGGGCGCCCCCUGUUGGAGGGUGGGGGCACGGGCGCACCCGGGUCCCUGCUCUUUACGCCUCUGACCGGGUGGCCCAAUUCCCGGCUCCGGCUGCUGGGGGCAGCGAGUCCCCCGGAGGAGCAGCUCCUGCCUGUGCGCCUGUCCCCAGUGGGAGCCUAUUCUCCUCCCACGCGGGGGGCCUUGCCUUGCCUGGCCAGCCCCGAACUGGCACUGCUGCUAUCCCCGCUCUUCCCCAGAAGUAGCACCUUCCCCGCCGCGGCGCCCCCACCCCGCCAGGUUCCCGCCCCCCCGCUGCCAACACCACGGUGUCCGCCGACCGCCCCUCGCUGGACCAGAAGGCCACCACCUCCGCCCAGGCAACGUAAGACGGACCCGGGCCAGCCCCGCGGGCCGCGCCUCGGCUCGCUGUCCCUCCAGUACUGGGCCAGCCUGCGUUUUAAUCUUUUUCUAGGGUGCCUGGCUAGGUCUCGCCCUUGGAGUUGGGCAGACUCCUAGCGGGCUUACU
rnacentral:lncRNA from 1 species